CAUAGCGACUAUCGUGGCAUAUCAAUAAGCGGAGGAAAAGAAACUAACUAGGAUUCCCUCAGUAACGGCGAGUGAAGCGGGAAGAGCUCAAAUUUGAAAUCUUCAAGGUUCUACCUUGACGAAUUGUAGUUUAAAGAAGUGUUUUCUGUUGGAGUUUUGGUAAAAGUUCUUUGGAAUAGGACAUCAUAGAGGGUGAGAAUCCCGUAUUUGACCAUUAUUUCCAACUUUGUGAUACACUUUCAAAGAGUCGGAUUGUUUGGGAAUGCAGUCCAAAAUGGGUGGUAAAUUUCAUCUAGAGCUAAAUACUGGCGAGAGACCGAUAGCGAACAAGUACCGUGAGGGAAAGAUGAAAAGAACUUUGAAAAGAGAGUUAAACAGUACGUGAAAUUGUCAAAAGGGAAGCGUUUGACACCAGUGUUGUUUUCUCGAGAAUCAAUUAAAAAUGGUGGGAUUUUGUGUUGUAUUGACUUUAUCAGCUUUCUGCACUUUUUUCCUGUCUUUUUUAAUGCACUUUUCGUUUAACAAGUCAACAUCAAUUUCUUUUGCUGUAAAAGAGUCAUUGGAAGGUGGCUUUCUUUUCGGAGAAAGUGUUUAUAGCCUUUGACUUCUGCAAUCGGAGAGAUUGAGGUCUGCAGCGUAGAUCCUUCGGGGUUAGAUACAUUUGUGCUAAGCUAUAGCCUUUCAUAGACAACUUGUUGACUAUGAUCAGUCAUGUAGCUUACUCGCUUAUGCUAUUUUACCUACGCUUAGGAUGUUGACGAGACUGUCGAUCUC
rnacentral:rRNA from 1 species